rnacentral:rRNA from 1 species
UGGGGAAUAUUGCACAAUGGAGGAAACUCUGAUGCAGCGACGCCGCGUGAGUGAAGAAGUAUUUCGGUAUGUAAAGCUCUAUCAGCAGGGAAGAUAGUGACGGUACCUGACUAAGAAGCACCGGCUAAAUACGUGCCAGCAGCCGCGGUAAUACGUAUGGUGCAAGCGUUAUCCGGAUUUACUGGGUGUAAAGGGAGUGUAGGUGGUCUGACAAGUCAGAGGUGAAAGCCCGGGGCUCAACCCCGGGACUGCCUUUGAAACUGUCAGACUAGAGUGCAGGAGAGGUAAGUGGAAUUCCUAGUGUAGCGGUGAAAUGCGUAGAUAUUAGGAGGAACACCAGUGGCGAAGGCGGCUUACUGGACUGUAACUGACACUGAGGCUCGAAAGCGUGGGGAGCAAACAGG